CGGCUUAACUGUGAGCGUGCGGGCGAUACGGGCAGACUUGAGUACUGCAGGGGAGACUGGAAUUCCUGGUGUAGCGGUGGAAUGCGCAGAUAUCAGGAGGAACACCGGUGGCGAAGGCGGGUCUCUGGGCAGUAACUGACGCUGAGGAGCGAAAGCGUGGGGAGCGAACAGGAUUAGAUACCCUGGUAGUCCACGCCGUAAACGGUGGGUACUAGGUGUGGGUUUCCUUCCUUGGGAUCCGUGCCGUAGCUAACGCAUUAAGUACCCCGCCUGGGGAGUACGGCCGCAAGGCUAAAACUCAAAGAAAUUGACGGGGGCCCGCACAAGCGGCGGAGCAUGUGGAUUAAUUCGAUGCAACGCGAAGAACCUUACCUGGGUUUGACAUGCACAGGACGCCGGCAGAGAUGUCGGUUCCCUUGUGGCCUGUGUGCAGGUGGUGCAUGGCUGUCGUCAGCUCGUGUCGUGAGAUGUUGGGUUAAGUCCCGCAACGAGCGCAACCCUUGUCCCAUGUUGCCAGCGGGUAAUGCCGGGGACUCGUGAGAGACUGCCGGGGUCAACUCGGAGGAAGGUGGGGAUGACGUCAAGUCAUCAUGCCCCUUAUGUCCAGGGCUUCACACAUGCUACAAUGGCCGGUACAAAGGGCUGCGAUGCCGCGAGGUUAAGCGAAUCCUUUUAAAGCCGGUCUCAGUU
rnacentral:rRNA from 1 species